UUGACAAACUGACCUCAAA
rnacentral:rRNA from 1 species